rnacentral:rRNA from 1 species
GAUGAACGCUGGCGGCGUGCCUAAUACAUGCAAGUCGAGCGAACAGACGAGGAGCUUGCUCCUCUGACGUUAGCGGCGGACGGGUGAGUAACACGUGGAUAACCUACCUAUAAGACUGGGAUAACUUCGGGAAACCGGAGCUCAUACCGGAUAAUAUAUUGAACCGCAUGGUUCAAUAGUGAAAGACGGUUUUGCUGUCACUUCUCGAUGGAUCCGCGCCGCAUUAGCUAGUUGGUCAGGUAACGGCUUACCAAGGCAACGAUGCGUAGCCGACCUGAGAGGGUGAUCGGCCACACUGGAACUGAGACACGGUCCAGACUCCUACGGGAGGCAGCAGUAGGGAAGCUUCCGCAAUGGGCGAAAGCCUGACGGAGCAACGCCGCGGGAGUGAUGAAGGUCUUCGGAUCGUAAAACUCUGUUAUUAGGGAAGAACAAAUGUGUAAGUAACUAUGCACGUCUUGACGGUACCUAAUCAGAAAGCCACGGCUAACUACGUG